GGAGAAUGUGGUUUAAUUCAAUGCGACGCGAAAAACCUUACAUGGGUUUGACAUAGCCGUAGUAGUGAAGCGAAAGCGGAACGACCCUUCGGGGAGCGGUUACAGGAGCUGCAUGGCUGUCGUCAGCUCGUGUCGUGAGAUAUUGGGUUAAGUCCCGCAACGAGCGCAACCCUCGUCGCUAGUUACAAGUGUCUAGCGAUACUUCCGGUCUCAAACCGGAGGAAGGUGGGGAUGACGUCAAGUCAGCAUGGCCUUUAUAUCCAGGGCUACACACACGCUACAAUGGGCGGUACAAUGGGCAGCGAAAGGGCGACCUGGAGCGAAUCCCAUCAAAGCCGUUCGUAGUUCGGAUUGUAGGCUGCAACUCGCCUACAUGAAGCCGGAGUUGCUAGUAAACGCAGGUCAGCAUUACUGCGUUGAAUACGUUCCCGGGCCUUGUACACACCGCCCGUCACGUCAUGGGAGUUGGUAACACUUGAAGUCGGUGACCCAACCAGAAGGAGGGAGCUGCCUAGGGUGGGGCUGAUGUCUGGUAAGAAGUCGUAACAAGGUAAAUCG
rnacentral:rRNA from 1 species